CAGCCGCCACGGUAAUACGUAGGGUGCGAGCGUUAAUCGGAAUUACUGGGCGUAAAGCGUGCGCAGGCGGUUUUGUAAGACAGGCGUGAAAUCCCCGGGCUCAACCUGGGAAUGGCGCUUGUGACUGCAAAGCUAGAGUGCGGCAGAGGGGGAUGGAAUUCCGCGUGUAGCAGUGAAAUGCGUAGAUAUGCGGAGGAACACCGAUGGCGAAGGCAAUCCCCUGGGCCUGCACUGACGCUCAUGCACGAAAGCGUGGGGAGCAAAUAGGAUUAGAUACCCGGGUAGUCCCUGUCUCUUAUAC
rnacentral:rRNA from 1 species